AAACCCUGUACACAUGGUCAGUGACCCACCACAAGCCUUUUUCAUUCCACAGAUUUUAGGAGCAUGUACUCAAUGGGUCAUAGAUCUGGUCCCACCCUCCAGAACGGAGUUCGAUUCUCUUACCACUGGGCUACCACGUCCCCUUUGAUGACGGAAAACUGAUAAUUUAACCAAACCAUUCAAGGUUGAAUGUGUCAACUAUUCUUUUGUCGCACAUUGUCACUACAGUGAAGUUAAGUGAAAAGGUAAAAUAUUACUAACAAAUAACUGCAAUUCGAAGAAUUUUAAACUGUAACAUAGCUUAGAUAUUCUUUAUGACUGAAACUUGCUGCAACCAUUGAAACGAUUUUAGUUUGUAAAUUACAGUAAUUUGGAAAUUGUAUUUUAGUUUGAUUCCAAAUUAUUAUGAAUUGAUAUUAGUUUGAAAAUUAUUAUUUCUAGUUUGGAAAUGGUAGGUGUUUUAAAAAGUGACAAUCUUAUCAUAAUUUAUCUUGAUCAUUUCUUGUUUUUUGAAUGGAUGCUUAAAGGGGCAGAUUUAAGAUGCGACAGUACUUUACGAAGUCCAGAAUUUAUUACUAAAGGAGGGAAGACUUCAUUUCUAGAAUUCAAAUUUAAAUAUAGUGGCCCUCUUUCUUUGAGUUUGUGGAAUCCAAAGUUCGUAGAAAAUGGACGUUCUGUGCUUACCAUGAUUGACGCAAAUAAUUCAACUAUUUGUACGAAAAUUAAGGAGCUAGGUUAUAUGAAUUCUAAAAAAUUUGAUUUAAUUGCUGAGAAUUCGGUUUCAGAAUAUAGGGGUCGAAAUAUUAGAGUAUCUUGCACCGUAAUGGCAUCUGACCUGGAAAAUGAAACGAGUGAUGCAAUGGAAAAACUCAGCUUGGACUUUAAAACAAUUUUCGACAAAGCAAUUGACACCGACAUAGUCUUAAAAGUGGAUGAGGACAAUAUUAAAGCUCACAAACUGGUAUUGCAAUCACGCUCCCCUGUAUUCCGGAAAAUGUUCGAUACCGAUUCGAGAGAAGCUGCCGAAAACGAAGUUGUCGUUUCAGACAUCGGAUCAGCUACAAUGAAGAGACUCGUCAACUUUCUGUAUUCUGCUGCAAACGAAACUGGGAAUUUUGAAGAGACCUUGGAACUGUACUACGCGGCUGACAAGUACGGAGUGCUGUCUUUACGAGAAGUUUGCAAGAUGGAAUUGCUAAGCCACCUUAACACCAUGAAUGCAUGUUCUCUCUUUACCUUUGCUAAAAGACAUAACGAUGAGGAUUUUAUGGAUAAAGUUGUGCGGUUCGCGAGUGCUAACUCUAAGUCUGUUUUUAAUAUGGAUUCAUUAAAUGAUAUGAGCAAAGAUGAUGUGGUAUUACUUAUAUCUUUGUGUGUUCCUAAUAUAAAAUAAGCAGAGUCAAUCUGAAUCCAAAAUAUUAAACUCAAUAUGGAUUAAUUAUUUUGUUUUUGUAAAUUCCAAUUAAUAAAUUUAUCACUUUUCAAAUUUGCUGUAGAGUUUUCAUCGAAGAAUAAAGUCUUGUUUUUUGAAGCAUGAAGUAAAGGAGACUGAUUAAAAAAGGAGACAUUGUUUUGCUCGAGUUACAGUUUUAUAUUGUGUUUUGCCUGCAGAACGAUAUCACAAUGGAUAUGGCUGACGUAUUUGAGAUCAUUGCGAAUAACGACAAUGUAUGCCUGGCAGAUUUUGUACGUCCUUAUUAUCCACAUUCGGAUGACGAAUUUGAAACUCUAUCGGACGAAGUGACUCAAAAUGACAUUUUCUUGAUUUAUUCCGCAUUCCGGCGCUACAUGCAUCACUGUCCAAGAAUAAAUAAAGAGUCCAAGUCACGUGGUGAAGAUUUUUUUCGUGUCUACGAAGAUCUUGAUAAUUGGGCUAAAGGAUUUUAAGCAGACGAUAUGAUCCUUAACGAGAAUAAAUAUUUAGUGAGAGGGGACGUUAAAGAACAAUACGAUCCAGAAGACAACACCUUAGUAAAUUUUAAUAGAUACGCAGAAAACUUUCAGAAUCUUUCUGAUGUUGUGGAUGCUCACAUCCAUGGCACCGAAAAACACGAUCCAAAUUACGUAUGGUCAUCUUUAUUUGAAAAAACAAGUUGUUUCGGUGAUGAAAGGAGCUUCAAACAUUACUCUUUUGAAAACUACAUGCAUUGGAUGCCUGCUUCUCUGAAGGAAGCCAUCUUGACGGUGCGUACUUCAGAACGAGUGAAAUGGUGCGUAUAUUUGCUUUUUACUUACCAUUAUGAGAACGAGUGUGGCUUGUUCGUUUCCUGCGCUCUUAAACUUUGUUUAAGAGCCUUUGACUUAUGUGAGCAAGCGUUCCGUGUCUAUGGAUUUGAAACUUUUGCUAAAUUGAUGCGUUAUGUAUAUCUCAUUAAAGAAUGCGAAUGUGAUACUCAAGUACUUUUAAGUUGUCUGCGUGUGCAUUGUAUUAGUCAUCACAUUGAAGACCGCCUUUUUAAGAAGCCUUUACUUUUAAAAUUCAUUCUGGGAAAAAUACAAGCUGGAAAAGCCAAAAUUCCCGGUGAACUCAUGAGCAUCUCUCCUUAUUUUGAUCCUCGUUUAAAGUAUAGACCAAAUGCUGAUAGGUUCUUCUUGGAAGACUUGGAUACUUUUUUAACUUUACUAGAAUUUGGAAUCAGCACUGACUUCAACGCAUUCAUAUACUGUGAUAUUAAAGAGAAGAUUCGAAUCAGUGUUGCUGAAAGAAGAUGCUUCCGGGAACUCAGCUUAAAAGAGAGCAAUACGUGUAGAUAUCGGUGCGUCCAAUUGGUUUACUUAUACAGUUGUACACCAGAUCUUCAGAGCAGUGAAAAAGAUGAAGCCUUGCAAAUUCUCUGGGCUUCUAUACUUGACCCCUUUUUAACUAAACUAGACAUGUGGCUUAGUUUUCUGGUUGAUGGAAUAACUACAAUUCCUAAAGACGCGAGGAGAGCUUGGCGGUGGUACGACAAUAUUGUGGCUAAAGGAGAGAGUCGAUACAGAUCACCAAGAUCCUUGCAGCAUUUGGCUAGAUGUGCAAUACGUCAUCGCUUAACAAGUUAUUUCCGUCUUCCUAUUGGUGUUGACUCACUUAUGUUGCCACAAAAGCUCAAAGACUACUUACUGCUUAAAACAUAAAUGAGUUUUCACUACAGGAAGUUCGACUGCAGAUAUUCAAAAGUACAAGCAUAGGUUUUAAUUCUUUUCUAGUGGAAAUAAGAUUCUACUGUUUUAAUGGAAGCUGAAAUAAUAAAAAAUUAAAAUUAGGGCAUAAAGUCUAUGGAACUGAAUAUGAACAAUAAGCUUCCUUAAACCGGAAGAAAUUUAGAAAACUUCCGGUGUAUUACUCCGCCUAUGUUAUGCUUACGAGCUGAUGUGUGAACAGGUUUAAUACUCUAGGAAGUUUUAUUAUUGAGAUUUGUGCUUGAAUUAAAGCGUAAUUUUACCAUU